UACGAAGGGGGCUAGCGUUGUUCGGAAUUACUGGGCGUAAAGCGCGCGUAGGCGGACAUUUAAGUCAGGGGUGAAAUGCCGGGGCUCAACCUCGGAACUGCCUUUGAUACUGGAUGUCUGGAGUUCGGGAGAGGUGAGUGGAAUUCCGAGUGUAGAGGUGAAAUUCGUAGAUAUUCGGAGGAACACCAGAAGCGAAGGCGGCUCACUGGCCCGAUACUGACGCUGAGGCGCGAAAGCGUGGGGAGCAACAGGAUUAAGAAACCC
rnacentral:rRNA from 1 species